GAUGAACGCUGGCGGCGUGCCUAAUACAUGCAAGUCGAGCGAACAGACGAGGAGCUUGCUCCUCUGACGUUAGCGGCGGACGGGUGAGUAACACGUGGAUAACCUACCUAUACGACUGGGAUAACUUCGGGACACCGGAGCUAAUACCGGAUUAUAUAUUGAACCGCAUGGUUCAAUAGUGAAAGACGGUUUUGCUGUCACUUAUAGAUGGAUCCGCGCCGCAUUAGCUAGUUGGUAAGGUAACGGCUUACCAAGGCAACGAUCCGUAGCCGACCUGAGAGAGUGAUCGGCCACACUGGAACUGAGACACGGUCCAGACUCCUACGGGAGGCAGCAGUAGAGUAUCUUCCGCAAUGGGCGAAAGCCUGACGGAACAACGCCGCGUGAGUGAUGAAGGUCGUCGGAUCGUAAAACUCUGUUAUUAGGGAAGAACAAAUGUGUAAGUAACUAUGCACGUCUUGACGGUACCUAAUCAGAAAGCCACGGCUAACUACGUG
rnacentral:rRNA from 1 species